UAUUUGAACACCAGAACAAUUUAUAACUCCACAUUUUCCAAGCUACACAGAAUUUUGAAGGGAAAUUCUCCCAAAAUUUGUGGUUGAAGCUCUCCACAAUCAUCCGAAGGAUAGUUGAUAAUGGCAGGAAGGAACCGUAUGUCUCGUGAUGCUUUUAAUGAUAGACAUGGGUACCCCCCAGCUCCAGGAGGACACAUUGUUCGGGGCCCUAUGCUGAGACCACCACCUCCUCAUCCCGCCAUUUUGGAGGAAGAAAUUGAAAUACAGCGUGGAGAGAUGAGAAAACUCUUGGAUGAUAACAGAAGGCUUGCUGAUGAUCGCGUGACUUUGCAGCGAGAGUUGAAUGCUGCUCGUGAAGAAAUUCACCGGAUGAAUAUUGCCAUUUCUGAAAUACGUGGGGAGCAUGAGGUUCAUUCGAGGGAGCUUGUUGAAAAAGGUCUGAAGUUGGAGGCUGAGCUUCGUAUGGCUGAAUCCUUCAAGAAGGAUGCCACACGACUGCGUGCGGAAGUUCAAAAUCUAGAAAAGAUACGACAUGAAUUAAGUGCACAAGUUGCAGCAUUCACAAAGGAUUUGACUAAGCUACAAGCUGAGAAUCAGCAGAUUCCACAUGUGAAAGCAGAGAUUGACAGUAUACAGAAGGAACUGAUGCAUGCAAGAGCUGCUAUUGAUUAUGAAAAGAAGGCUAAAAUGGCGCUUAUGGAACAGAGGCAAGCAAUGGAAAAUAAUGUGAUUUCUAUGGCACGCGAAGUUGAAAAGCUACGGGCAGAACUCAGUAGCAGUAAUGCUAGAACAUGGACAGCUGGUGCAGCAUAUGGGAUGAAGCGUAGCAGUCCCGAGGCUGUCUAUCCUGGUCAUUAUGGAGAUCGCCAUGGUCUUCAUAUGGGUGCUGCUGAUAAGGGUCCUCUCUAUGGGCCGGGAUCAACUACUUGGGGUGGAGUUGAGAAGCGUGCACGAAGAUGAAGAUUUAUCUUGAUUAUGGAUAAGCCAAGGCUUACCCCUUGCUUUGCUUCUGUCCAUGGUACAUUGUUAUUGGAAAUCCAAUGUUGGUAUCCUUUUGCCUUAUAUGUAUAAUGAUUUGGCGGAAUGAGAGUAUAUGAUACAUCUUGUUUUAGAAACGCUUUGUGAUGCUCGUUUCAACAAAGGAUUGUUGUAGAAGAUGGAGGUAGUUGAAAUGCAGAUGCUUAAUGGAAUGAUUGGUCAAACUUUGAAGGAUAGUAUUCGAAACUUGUGAAAAGCUUUAGAUAUCGCAUAUAUUGAAGAUAAGAUGAGAAAGAGUUGUCUAAGAUGGUUUGAGCAUGUGCAACAUGGAGAGUUGGCAAACCAAUGAGGAAGAUAGAAAGUUGAAAUUUGAAUGAUUUAAAAAGAGAGUGAAGGAGACCGAAGAUGACUUUGAGGGAAGUAGUAGAAAAGGAUUUGAAAAUUGGUGAGAUGGUUGAUAUUCGAAAUGAAUGAAGAAGGAGAAUUCAUAUGAAUGACCACCAGGCUUCAUCUAUUGGUUAAUGUAAUUGACCCUAAUCUUUUGGGAUCAAUGCUUUGUCAUUGUUUUUGUCAUUUGUGGAGCUAUUCUUAAGUCUCUACUUAAGUGUGUUCUUGUACUGCAGCUAUAUGUUUGUAAAUUAUAUCUACAUUGAUUUCAGGCAAGAUAAAUAGUUGUGGUACCAUUUAUCUUUUUGACCGCUUGUCAACUCCGAGGUCAUAUGUUCACCAAGAUAAAUCCCCGUAUGGGAUCAGAAUAGGAAUUCUCGGAGAGAUUACAGCUUAAUGACAUGAUAUAUUUCUUGCGUUUGUUGACUCUGGGCAUCUCAAAUUGCUAUCCAACGCUACAGGGGAUUUUUGUAUACCUUCAUCAUGGCUCUUAUUUGUUUUGUUUGUAGUUUUGUUUUGGUCUUUCAUUAAAUGAAGAGAAGUUUUCGAGAAAUAGGAUUGCAGUAGCUUUGCAUAGCAUAUUUCUGCUGUAUAUAUGUGGCUAUGCUAUGGAUUUGUUGUUUCAAUUUGCUCGUGUGGGGUCUAUUGAUAUGUAAUAUAUCUUUGUUGGAUUAACAAGUGAUACCUAGUUAGGGACUUUUGGAUUAAAAAAAAGCAAUUCUCUUUAUGUUACCUGGUAGUUGGUACAUAUCAGUUUUCUUGAUUACAUAUUACUCUUUUUCUCAACCAAAUUCAUCAUGCCAUUUUGGAAACUUGUUGGCUCGAUCCUGAAAUUCUUGUUACCCGAUUAAUGCUUUCUUCUUUCUCUUUGCUGUAGCAAACAAUGAUGAUAAACUUGCUUACUGAAGUAUUCCCAUUGCGGCAUUUUAUUAACUCUUGAUUACUGAAGAGUUGUGGUUUUCCCUUUUUGUUGUUGAUCCCUUUCUCUUCAUUCCUUUGCCCAUUAGAUAAUCCCAACAAUUGGUACUUAGUUUUAUCUGGGACUCAUAUAGUUUGCAAUCUCUUCUGUUGGAAUGAGGAAUUUUGGGUUUUUAAGUCCUUGUGGAUAGUUAUUAGGUGUUUUAUAAUUACUAUGUAGAAUUAAGUUAUUAUUCUUGGUUCAUCAUAUCAUGUUCGUCAAGCUAUUUAUGAUGGAAACUAUUGGCAUUAGUUCAACUAUUGCUGAACAUGGAUGCAGAUUGUCAUUUGUAGCUACUUCGAUUGAAAUUUGAAGAGCCUUUUUAGAGAUCAGUGAAGUAUGAGUAUGAUUGGAUUGACACUUAUGCAGUGUGUUCUGUCAAAGAUGUUGAUUGUCUCUAGGUUUUCAGAGAAUCAGGUCUUUAAGUAUUGAAAGGAGAAGGCAGUUUUAUUACAUUUUUUUUGAAAUAUUUAAGGAAUUACUGUAAGGCUGUAUAUGCUCAGUGUUUUGGGGAAAAAAAUUGUUGUGACAUGAAUACUUGAAAGACAUGUUAAUCACUACUCCAUGUCCGAUUCUUCCCUUGUACAUGCUUUUCCACCAUCACUUUCCCUCUCUAUUCUCUGUCUCUUUGAUCUUUUAUUCUGCGUAAUGUCCUGAGUGGUUAGAUGCACUGGCUGGUUCUUGCUUAAACUUCCAAUUACUGAUCUGAAGAAGACAAAUCCAGAAUGAUGAGCAAGCAUCAGCAGCUGUUUAGAGCAUCAUCAGCAGAUUUGUAUGGCAUCCGCCAUGAGCUGCAUGCUUAAGACUGCCAAAUAGAGAAAUGGUCCAUGGACCGAAAAACCUGCACUUGCCAAUUUCUGUCAGAGAUGCUUGGAGGAGAAGACGUAUGGAGUUUUCCUAUGGUG